rnacentral:lncRNA from 1 species
GUGAGUCCGUGUGCUGCUCUCGAGAGGAGACGUCUCUCGAAAUAUAGUUGGUGCUUUGACGAUAAGACCUUUGACAGGAACAUGAAUGACACGAAUACUUUGAUCUCUAGUCUCAGAAGCUUCAAAAGCAAUUAUGAGUCAAGAGGGGUGAAUAUGGGCAGCAGCUACAGCAAUGCCCCAGAGGGUGGUGAGGCAGUAAUUAGAGACAAACCCCAGAGCAUCUCUGCCUGCACGAGCCGGGAGGAGGUGGGCCGGGGGAAGGCUCCGCAGCAAACAACAGCCCUUAUUCUUCUGAGAGACAUAAAACCGACAGGACUUUAUACAUUUCAAAGCAAAACAUCUUCAAAGACAGGUGCCUCCAACCGAACUCGCAUCAUCCCCUACACAGACCUCAAUGACGGAGUAAGAAGAGCUGCUGCAAGUAACUGUCAGCCCCAAAUACAAAACGCUGCUUCAAAGGACCACGUGAGAAUCCAGAGCUUACAGACCAAGCCAGGCAGCCGCUCGCCACGUUGCAGCUCGCUGGAACAGCCAGUGAUGAACCCGAAUUACACAAGCUGGGCGGCCCCAGCAAUGCAGACACCAAGCACACCGCAGACCCCAACCACAGCUGGCAACAGAUGCGGGGCAGCGGACACCUCACCCAUGUAUUUGUUGUUCUUUCAAACAGAUGUUGUGUUGUGGUGCAGAGAGAAGGAAGCUGCGUGUCUUUCUGCUCAGCAGGCAGGAAUGGUGGCAAUGCCCCUCCUGUCCCCGCCACAUCUCAUGCCCUGUGCAGGACACCCGUCAGGAUACAGCUUGGAGCAAGAGCCUGACAAAGAGUGAAGAAGGGAUGGCGGGGAUUUCUGGAUCCCAUUCCCCCGGAUCUAACAGGGUUUGGUGCUACAAUUCCUUAAGCAGCUUUGGAAAUCUUGACAACAGCAAACGGAAACCAACAGUGCCGGAUGGACCUCCCUCUGCCGCCACGAUGCCACUGUGCAUUGCCGUAUCAAAGUCACUGAACGCCUUGUGAUGCACCAAACAAUAGCAGAGGGGUGCACGAGCAC